UUUUUCCUGAACAGUGAUAUUUGCAGUGCUACUUGUCUUUUUCUCUUUCUCUUUUGUUUUUGGUAAACAACAGUACUCAAUGACAAGUAUCAGCAGAAAGCAGCAGAGAUUAAAAAAAUGUUUCAAAGUGCUCAGUGGCAGUGGGCAGAGGAGCAGCAAAGAUUUGCAGUGGAGAAAGAUAACAUCCGCAGAGUGUACCUCGCUGCAGUGGAAUACCUUAUUAAAGAAAAAACUCAAACAGAGAAGGCUUGCCAGGAAAAGAAUGCUGUCCUGCAAAACAUGCUCAGGAAGUUGAGGGAUAUGGAGGUAGAGCACCAUGGCUGCAGCGAGAUCCCGAGGCUCCGGGCUGAUCAUCUGGAUCUCGAGGAUAGACAGAAGGACAGACUUGUCAGGGAGCUGGAGGUAAAACUUUCUGCCUGCUGCAAGGAGUCUCAGAAAGCACUGGCACAAAUGAGCAGUUUCAUUUCUGUGGGGUGUGUCCCAGUUUGAGGUUUCUCCUUAGACCCGAGAUCACCUCAGAAGGACGUGCAGUGGUUUAAAUGCCGGUUUUUCCCAGAGCAGCUGAUGAGAGUUUGCAGGAGACGGUUUUCAGAGGCUUCAAGGAUUGUUUAUUGUUUCUUGUCUCAGGAACUCUUUGCCCGGCUAGCAGCAAUCUUCUCAGCCAGGCAUCCAGGAUGGAAUCUGCCUGGUGAAGGCAGGCCUUAUCUUAUAUAGUCUAAAUU
rnacentral:lncRNA from 12 species